GACGAACCGUGCAAACGUUGUUCGGAAUCACUGGGCGUAAAGGGCGUGCAGGCGGUCUGUUAAGUUCAGGGUGAAAGCUCCCGGCUCAACUGGGAGAGGUCCUUGGAUACUGGCAGACUUGAGGGAGGUAGAGGAGAGUGGAAUUCCCGGUGUAGUGGUGAUAUGCGUAGAUAUCGGGAGGAACACCAGUGGCGAAGGCGGCUCUCUGGGCCUUUCCUGACGCUGAGACGCGAAAGCUAGGGGAGCAAACGGG
rnacentral:rRNA from 1 species